UGGCGGACGGGUGAGUAACGCGUAAAGAACUUGCCCUUUAGACUGGGAUAACAGAGGGAAACUUCUGAUAAUACUGGAUAAGUUAGUAUAUCGCAUGAUAUACAAAUGAAAGCUACGGCACUAAAGGAGAGCUUUGCGUCCUAUUAGCUAGUUGGUAAGGUAAGAGCUUACCAAGGCGAUGAUAGGUAGCCGGCCUGAGAGGGUGGACGGCCACAAGGGGACUGAGAUACGGCCCUUACUCCUACGGGAGGCAGCAGCC
rnacentral:rRNA from 1 species